AUAACGAUGGUCUUAAUGGCUGCGAAAUAAUUGCCACGACCGCGAUAACAUAUUUGAAUCGGAAAUUAUUAUGUUUUGUUGCUACUGCGCUGAGCGUACUUUGUGAUAUAAUUGUUACUAUUAUGUUGUACAAUAGUAACACAGAAAUAGUCUCUCAAACAAUUAUUUGCAGUCUCUUAAACCAAAAUCUAGAUAUUAUUAAUACUUAUUUUCUAUUUCAUUAUUUAAAGCAACUGAUAUGAGAUACUUUAAAUUAUUUACUAAUAAGAUAUUUCGUGCAGGAUAAUCGAAUAUCUUGUUUUGUUGUUUUGGUUUGUUAUAAAAAAAGAGUGAAUACAUGAUCGAUCAAUUACAUUGAAAUGGAAACAGAUACGGAAUUUUAUAGACGGAUAUGGAAUUACAAGAUCGAUAAGAAAAAGUCAAAUACAGUUACAAAAAAAGAAAUACAGUUUCAUAUUAUAAUCGCAGCACACAUUAAUUUAAAGGAAACUAUAUCAUUAUACAUUACUUCUACAGAAAUUUAUAAUUUGCUCCUUGACACAUAAUACACCCUUUUCUCUUACGAUAUUGCUCGUAUAUGAAUGUAAUGGAUACUAUGUCUAUGAUAUAGUGCAAGGGAAAAAAGAAAGAAAAAGAGAAUUGUCACAAUAUUCAAGAGUUCCCGAUUUUUUAUAUUAACCAUGAGUGAUAAUUAAGUUAUUUGAGAUGAGUGAGAACUGUGAUUUUUUAUAGUCUUGUAGAGAUAGCUUCAAGCAAAUUUUCAAGAGACAAGUUUACAAGAUUGCGCCGUAUACACAAAAUGUGAAGUUAAAGAAAUGUGUACCUAUUCUUCAAGACUGGUAAUCGUUGUGUUUUAAUAAAGAAGUCACAAAAAAGCAUAAUGUUUUGUAUUCGAGAAAGUACGAACUUUACAGAGGAUUUUUCUUUAUUAAGUCGAAAUCCAUCUAGCAGUUGAUUAUCUUACUCCGCUGAUGUGGUUGAUUUUGUUUCAUAACGAGAUGAAACAAAAUUCUUUUCAACAUUAUAAAAAUUCUACAAAAAGGUCAAUCUACAACCCAUUUUCGAUGUAUUUGUGAAAACGCAAGAUUUCGCCUGUUGUAUUCUUCUGAGGAGUAGCUGCAAAUGAAGUUUUCACGUUAUGCACUGCACAGCUAUUGUAUUCAAUUUACAAAAAUGAAGAAACAUAUAUUCAUCUACUUUAUACUUUGUAUCUGUGAUAUUGAAAUUACAUACCAUGUUAUCAUUUU